GGCCUGCUAGCUCAGUCGGUUAGAGCGUCGUCCUAUUAACGCGAAGGUCGUAGGUUCGAUCCCCGCGCAGGCCU
rnacentral:tRNA from 1 species